rnacentral:rRNA from 1 species
UACGGAGGGUGCAAGCGUUAUCCGGAUUCACUGGGUUUAAAGGGUGCGUAGGCGGGCAGGUAAGUCAGUGGUGAAAUCUCCGGGCUUAACCCGGAAACUGCCAUUGAUACUAUCUGUCUUGAAUAUGGUGGAGGUAAGCGGAAUAUGUCAUGUAGCGGUGAAAUGCUUAGAGAUGACAUAGGACACCCAUUGCGAAGGCAGCUUACUACGCCUAUAUUGACGCUGAGGCACGAAAGCGUGGGGAUCAAACAGG